rnacentral:rRNA from 1 species
UACGUAGGGGGCAAGCGUUGUCCGGAUUUAUUGGGCGUAAAGCGCUCGCAGGCGGCUCGAUGCGUCGUGCGUGAAACACCCCGGCUCAACUGGGGAGGGUCGUGCGAUACGGUCGGGCUGGAGGCCAGUAGGGGGAUGCGGAAUUCCGGGUGUAGUGGUGGAAUGCGUAGAGAUCCGGAGGAACACCAGCGGCGAAGGCGGCAUCCUGGACUGGUACUGACGCUCAUGAGCGAAAGCGUGGGGAGCAAACAGGG